ACUUAGUUUAUAUAAAAUAAUUGCUUGUCAAGCAGUAGCAACUACAUUAGUAGUA
rnacentral:tRNA from 1 species